rnacentral:lncRNA from 1 species
UUCCGAAAUGUAGUGCGCAUAAGCUGCUUUGGACUAAAGUAAGGUUAUGAUUUGAUAGCUGCCUGGGAUAGACAGUAACAUCUCAUCAUGCAACAUGGUAAGUAAGGUCUUUUGUCCAUUGUUUGUCAUGGUUUAUUAUUGUUUCUAAUAGCUACCACUUGUAGAUUUAUCUUCCAUGUGAAUCCAUCGGUUGAUACAUCUUGUACGUUAUCCACAAAGGCACAUCGAUUAUCUAUUCUGGACCCUAUUCAUACAACACAACCGUUGGAGAUGGAAAAUCCGAGGCACUUAGUGAAAUCAAAAGGUUUUGUGAGAGAAUUCAAAGAAGCACUCAAAAUAAAGCUAUCAGGAUAGCAUUCUGAUAUAUCAAAAUGGCAACGUUUAUUUCCUAUUGGUAUUCCAAUGAGCGUAGACGGGUAAUUAAUUCAUAAUACAAACAUUUAUUUUUCUUACCAUCAUAUUAAAUAUAAUAAUAAUUUUUCCAUUUUAUGCUCUUGUGGAAUGGUAAAGACUUGGCGAAGCCGGUUUGCACAGCGAGUAUUUUCCGUUACACAUGUGCUUAGACCUUCCACGUGAAACAUAUACUUUUGCAGGAUGGGUAUGAGUUGAGGAAGCAACUUUUUAUUAUACUUUCUCAAACAUCAUGCAAAUGAAGCUAAAGACAACUUUCAUAAUAUUGUGCGAGAAUUUCUUAAGCGCAUCAAGUAGAUCUCAAUAGUUUGUAAUAGAUUUUGAGUUGGAUCAUCACUUUAUAUAUAUUCAUUGUUAGUUUGCCAUUUUGUUAUCAGUUUAUAUUACAAGUGAAGUGGACUUCAAUUAUUAUGCAAUUGUGACGGUGUUAUAUUAUCCUAGCUGUGAAAUUUAGCAUGCAUUAUCUUUAUAUAACUUCAGCAAAAUAUUUCAGAAGCCCGUGGCAACCAGGUUUUUAUGUCAAUCCACCAUAUUUUCUAGCCAGUUGGGGAACUGAGUGCGGUAGCGGAGCUGUGGGAGUGGUGGACAUGCAAUGAGGGAAGGACAAAGAAUAGAGGAUUAGGAAGGACGGAUGGAGGUGUCGGAGCUGAGAGAAAAGAGGGAAAUAUCGAAGGGAGUUGGCAUGGAAAGAAAGCGAAGUUGUGCCCCAAGGUUAGAGUGUGAUCGUGCUAUAAAUGUUACCUUUUAUCAAUGCCCGUGUUCAUUCUCGAAGGCUCCACACAAUCAUUGUGAAGGAAUAUGGCAAACUCAUUGAGGACAAUCAUUGUGGUGAUUUCUAAGCUCAAUUUCUGGUGGAGUAGUCUCAUGACAAAUUAAGAGGACAACCCAUGAGUAACUCAUAAAUUUAUAAAAUCACCUUGUUUUUUCAUGCAUAUUCAUGUUACCUACAAACAUUAGAUGUGAUUGAUUUAGGGAAGAAACAAUGGAAGAGAUGGUGGUUUUGCAAUGUAAAAUAUAUGUCUGAAUCAAGUAUUGUUUAUUUAAUCAUCU